CACGUCCCCUCGUUAGGCACAGUGUUCCUUGACGCCUUCGGCGCCGUGGGUUCUUUUACCCCGAGCCCCAACUCCGAAAAGAUGAGGUUGUCGAGGACUUUUGCCAAGCGACGGACGAUGCCGCCGCCCAGCGGGCUAGAUAACUCGUGCGCGGUCUGUUUUGGUCAGGGUCACGACAAUGAUCCUUCCGCAGGUUCACCUACGGAAACCUUGUUACGACUUCUCCUUCCUCUAAAUGAUAAGGUUCAAUGGACUUCUCGCGACGUCGGGGGCGGCGAACCGCCCCCGUCGCCGCGAUCCGAACACUUCACCGGACCAUUCAAUCGGUAGGAGCGACGGGCGGUGUGUACAAAGGGCAGG